GGGUUGUGACCGUGGCGUGCAUGUGAGUGGUUAUGGAUGUGGUUUCUUCGUCAGGCUCCCUGCUCUUUGUCUGCCGACUGACGAAUACCGUAUCGUUUUCGAAACCAUGCAUCAUAUUCUGCACGGUUUUGAUGUUGUCCUCGUGGGAAAUUGAUCCAGUUUGGAACGGAAGGUCAGGUGAUGCUAUUUGUAUCGUUCCCUCCUCUUAUUCCAGAGCUUAUGAGGGGCGUGCGAAGUUGGGGAAUCCUUCGAUGGCUGAUUCGAUUCGUAGAUCCACGUUAAUCGUUAGUGUUCCUUAAAAUGUUGCGGAUGUUAUGCAUUGCUAAAUACUCCGGGGAAGUCUUCCUUAGAUUAUACGAAUCGGUUUUGUCCGCACUUUUGAAAGACGCUUACACGGGAUCAUGGUGCCACUUCUAUUGUGAAGGAACGCAAAUGGCACCGUGUAGGAGCCUUAGAAGACGUGCUACCUGGUUGAUCCUGCCAGUAGUC
rnacentral:misc_RNA from 1 species